CCACACAUUAUUAUAUAUGUAAAAUGUAAAUAGAAGCUACAUCAUUAUUUCAUGAAAUAACAUCAUAGAGAAUGUGAUAGCAGAGUUCAUUCUCAGCAAUAUAUGUGAAACUAAUUAGGAAUCAAACUGUCUUCAAUAGUUAGAUGGAGGUGGAGGUAUGAAAGGAAUGGAAGGCAAGCUGCUGCUGGGAAGUGGUGGAAGAAUAGUGAUAAGCUUAGGCUAAGAUGGUGGGAUUGUUGGUAGCUUUGGGAUUCAAGGCAAUAUAGGAGGAAGUGGUGGAAUUGGUACGCUGGGAAGUGGUGGAAGAAUGGGGGUAGGGUUAGGAAGUGGUGGAAUUGGUACUGGUACUCUAGGAAGUGGUGGAAGACUGGGGGUAAGGUUAGGAAGUGGUGGAAUUGGUAAUCUGGGAAGUGGUGGAAUUGGGAAUCCAGGAAGUGGUGGAAGAAUGGGGGGAAGUGGUGGAAUUGGUGGAAUUGGUGGAAUUGGUGGAAUAGUUACUUGCUGAAGAUUUCGAGCUGCUAGGCUAACCUCCAUGCUUGAAAAACCCAACAAAAUGAAACAAGCUAAUAAAAUGAAAACGUUGGAACCUGCCAUUUUUUUUGGAGAGAUGAACUAAAGAUUGAAGAUUUGAGUUGAGGUUUGCAUUGAGGAAAGCAGGAUUGCUUUUCAGGUAUUUAUAGCCACAUUUGAAAGACUUAAUUAAUUAUUUGUUUGAGAUAUUAUUCCCCUACUUAGCAUACUACCUUUUCUCACCCAUCUGUCAUCACCAACAAAAAGAAGAAGAAGAUAAAUUAGACUCAUCCUUAAACUUAAAAAUAUUCUGAAUGAGUCGAUUUGUCUAAUGUUAGUUAAAAAUUAAAUGCUUUUAAAUUUUGUGUGAACUAUAUCUUUCUAUUUCCAUUUACCUAAUGCCAGUUAAAAAAUAAAUAUUUUUUUAUAUAAUGAGUGUAUAUUUGACUUACGUAUGUGGCGCUCUAUUAAAAAAAAAAUUAAAUUAGGUGGAUCAAAUUUAAAUAUUAGAUAACUAUACAUGUUGGUACUUAAACUUGGUAUUUAAGAUUUUUUGUUGUCCAAUUAAAGGUUGAAUUUAAAUUAGAUAGUUGAACUUGAUUUCUUAGUUCAAAUUCCAAGCUUAGAUACCAAAAUGUUUGGUAUAAUAUUAAAUUAAAAAAAUUCAAGAUGUAAAAUACUAAUUUAACAUUUAAACUAGUUGCCCCAUACAGCUACAAUGGUAAUGAUAGAAGAAAAGUAAUUGAAUGGGAUUAGGAGAUGAAGAUCCUAGUAAAGCCACCUCUAGAGGUAUGAGAGUUGCGACCACUCUAUAAUUGAAUGCUACAAAAAUGGUUAUAUCUAGGAAUCUUUCGCCAUUAGCUAAUAAUGGAAAUAGCUAUGUAUCACUUAAAAAACAACAAUUCAUAUUUUCUUGAAAUAUAUUCAAAAAAUUGAAAAAUAUAAAAAAUAUCAUUUUUCUAAAAAUCCAAAAAUUUUAUGUGAAUAUCAACAAAUUCAGAAACUAAAAGAUAUGGAAAGCUUUAAAGUUUUUCCAAAAAGAUAGAAAUUUGCAGAAAAUUAGGUAUUUAAGAUUCCAAUAUUUUUAUUUCCCUUCUUUCCUGAUUGGAGAAAAUAUGAAUUAGGUGACGCCAUCGUUAACAAUUGGGGCAAGGUAAGACACGGUUGGAAACUUCAAGUAGGUGUAAUUUUGGGGAAAUAUUACAUUGUUUAAUAAUGAAUAUUGACAUGAUUUACCCUGAGUUAAAUCAAUUAUAUUUUACUUAUAUUUUCUAUACAAAUUUUAUACAAGCCUAAAUUAAUCAUAUUCAAUCAUAUCAAUCUCAAUAUUUUGAAUAAGAUAAUAAUAUUUUCUUAAAACUAUAACUAUAUAAAGUAUUGUAAAAAUAAUUAUUCAAUUAUACAGCUAUUUUAUUUGUAUAAUUAUAAUUAACAUAACCUUCUCCAUCAUAUAAUUAAAAUUUGUUCAACUUAUAAUUACAACAACUUUCCGUGAAGAAAAGAGAGAGACACAAAUACAAACUAAUGAGAUUAAAUAAAUCUCAAAUAUAAAAUAUUCUUCAAUAAACAUCAUUAAUCAAUCUCAAAAGAAACAAGAAAAGAAAUUCAUAAAUUAAACAAUAAGAAUAUAAUAUAACAAUCCAUUAUUUAAUAAAUUCAAAAAAAAAAAUCACAUUUAUAUUUUAAAUUUUAUUGGUCUAAUUUUAGAUAGGUUUAUAAACUUCAAAUGAUUUAAAAUAUUAGUGUCACGCCCCUAAAUAUAGGAAGGUUCAUUGAAAUGAAUAAAUAAGAAAUGUGUUGACACCAUUUUUUUGAUGAAAACGGGGUUGACUUGGAUUUUGAAAAUGAAAAUUAAAAUGACAGUCGCCACCAAUCCUUUUUGAUAAGGUGUGAUCGGAUCACCUUGAAAAGUGGUUGUUUUUAAUAAACGAUUUAAUUUUAUUAAAACAACGAGUUUGGUCCACGAAAUUCAGAAAAAUGGGUUCGGGAGUCGGUUACGUACGAGGAAGGAUUAGCGCCCUCGUGACGCCCAAAAAUUGGUACCUAGUUGAUUAGUUAAUGUCUUAAUGUCAAAAAUUGUAAACUUUGAAGAAUUUUAAAAAUACGAUCCUUAAUUUUUUUAAAAAGAAAACUUAUAUAAAUCAAGUUACUCGUUAAGACCCUCCCAUUUCAGAAAGAGAAAACGUCACGCCCAAUGCGUUAGGGCACGAUAUUUUACCUCUUCAGAAAUGAGCUUGUCUAAAAACUUACACAAUAAAAUUUUAAAGGGCAUUCAAUUGUUUAAGUCAUGUGAAAAAUUGCAACCCAAUACAUUAGGGCACAAUUUCUCAAAAUAUUAAACAUUGAAUAUUGCAUUUAUUUUGAAAAAUCCUCAUAUCCAAUGCGUUACGGCACAACGUACUGAAUUCUCGAUAAUGAGCUAUUUAUUUAUGUUUUUGUUUUAAAGAGCACCCUCGAUUAUUUAGAUCCAACGAAGAAAAUUGGAACCAAUACGUUAGGGUUCAAUUCUCUCGAAGAUCCCAAAUACCGAGUAUUACUUUUAUUUUGAAAUUUUCCGUUUUUGAUAAAUCCGAGUAAAAAUGGAUGCAAAAUAAUGAUAAUGAUGAUAAUGUAAGUAAAAUAACACGAGCAAAACAAAAUAUAAAUAAAUAAUAAGACUAAUAUAAAUACAAUCGUGCAGGCGCAAUAACAAAUAAGAAACAGAUAAAAACUAAAGCAAGAAAAAUAAUAAUAACAUACAUGUAAAUAAAUAACUGAACAAAAUUAACAAAAUUAAAAAAAAUAUAAAAGAUAUAUUUAUACAUAUAUAUGUAUAAAAUUAUGAAAAUAUUAAAAACAUAUGCAUGUACACAUUUUUGAAGCUAUUAUACAUGAAAAUAUAUGUAAGUAUAUAUGCACAUACAUGAAUACGUAUAGAACCAUCAUCAAAUAUAUAAAAGUAUAUAUAUAUAUAUGUAGGUAUAUAUGAAUCACAAAAUUUAAAGAAUAAUAUAUAUAAGAUAUAUAUUUUGGAAGUAUAAAGAAUAUGUAAGAAUUUAUAUAUACAUACAUUUAUAUAUGAAAAUGAAAUAUAUAGAUAUGUAUGUGGGUAUGUAUAAAUAUUAUAAAAUAUAAAAACAUAUAUGUGUACGCAUAUAUAUAAAAAUAUACAUAUGUAUAUAUACAUAUAUAUUAUGAAAAUAAAGCUAAAAAAAAACUAGUUAGUGUAUUAACAUAAUUGUAACGACUAAAUAAAGGAAAAUAAUAAUAAUAAUAAUAAUAAUAAUAAUAAUAACAUUAAAAUAAUUAACUAAAUAAUAAAAAUUGCUAAAAAAAGAUUAAAUCGAAAUAAAAACGAAAAUACUGGGCAAAUUCGAAAUAAAAAAAACGAAAAGGAUUAAAUUGCUACACGCAUCGAAAGAGGGAGACCAAAACGAUAAAUAAACCAAAGCCCCAAAACGCAGCGCUGCAACGGACUAAAAUGAAACAAAAGGAAAACUAUGUGGCUAAAUUAAAAUAAAAGAAAAUAAUGAAAAAGGGCCAAAUUGCAACUCGUUGCAAAGUCGGAGUGACUACGCGCGCAAAUAUCCCCUUUUAAGAAAACACGCGGAUCCUCCCCCAGGGUCGGGUCACCGAGCGGGUCAGGGCCAAAAUGGCGUCGUUUUGGCACCUGACCCUAAUGACAAAACGGCGCCAUUUCGUUUAGGGUAUUUAAACCUAAUUUUUCCCAAAAAACCUAAUUUCAGCCACCAUUUAAAAAAAAUAAAAAACUUUCUUUUUCUUUCAAAAAUCUGACUUUUGGGGUAAAAUUUUUUACUUUCUCUUGAUAUUUUGCGCGAAUAUGAAUUGUUUUUUUUUAAAAAAAUAUGUAUAAAAAUAAAAAUGAACGGGUAUAAAAAAGAAAAGAGAUGCGAAACUAAAAUCACAUUGGAGUGAAUCUGUUUGUUUUUUUUAAAUCUGUUUUUGUAUUAUUUAAAAGUGUUCUUACAAAAAAUCUAAAAAGGAACCCCCUAAAUUACAGAAAAAUUUGGCUUUUAUAGCCGAUUCUCCCCCCUCAUUCUUUGCUCUGUUGCUUUUCUAUUGCUUGCAGGGACUUGACGCGGUGCAUGUGGGGUGUCGGUGGCAAGUGGGGUGAUGGAACAUCCGACGGUGGCCGUGGCUGCUGGUGAUGCGACUGGUGUGCGGCGGCCAAGAGCUAGGGUUUCAGAAAAGCUGAAACCCUAGUUUGACUGUUGGGGUUGGGAUUUUGGGCCAAUUGGGUUAUUGGGCCUCGAGUUUGGGUUUGUAAUUGGGUUAAUUUAUUUUUUUUGGGUUUUAUGUUUGGGUUUAUUGAAUAUUGGGCUGAGGGUUAGUGGGUUAGGCCUAGGUGGGUUGGUUUGGGUUUUGGGCCCCGGGCUAAAAUUGGGCUUGUACAAAAUGAAUUAGGUUUAAUGGCUAAGUGUUAAAGAAUUCACCUUAGAGACUUAAGUUCGAGUUCCCUUCCUUCCUUUUUAUUUUUGGUAACUUGGUUUUAGGGUAAAGUCACACUCAAAAUAUAUACGACUAGGAAUUAAGAAUAAAUAAGAAAUGGGCAAUAGGUCCAAUGGUUAAGUGUUAAUCCCCUAUCUUAGAGAUCUUAGGUGUAAGUUUCCUUUUUCCCCUCCCAUUUUUCUUUUGGAUUUCGACAAUAAGGGGAAAUUUGCUGUGCCACCCCUAGGGUUUUCAAACCCGAGCUAUUUAAUCAUUCUUUUCCCAUUUGGAUUAGUUUUGCUUCUUUUCAAAUUCUUGUAAAAUUUCUACUCAUAUUAUAUUUCUCUUAUAUUUAUUUUCUUUUCCUUUCUUUUCAUUGUAACACCCUAAACUCGGUCGAAUAGGUUCGACCUAAAUUUGGAGAGCUACAUUAGCCACCGAAGUGACUUUCCAUUAACUCCCAAUCUAACCUCUAACACACCACUUACUUGCAACGUAUAUUAUGAUAAGUUAUAUCAUAACAAGGGUAUAAUAUAAUACAUAUAAUGUAAAUCAUGCAAGCUUAAAACCAAUGUAACACCCCAAACCCGGCUGAGUAGGUUCGACCCAAAUUUGGCGAGUUACAUUAGCCACCGAAGUGACUCUCCAUCAAUUCCCAACCUAACCUCCAACACACCACUUACUUGCAAUGUAUGUUAUGAUAAGUUAUAGCAUAACAGUGAAAUAAUAUCACAUAUAGAAUGUAAAUCAUGCAACCUUAUCAAACAAAAUGAGGGAACGGUUCGCAUGUUAAUUACUACGUAAGGCUACGUAGUAAGGUUAUCGCACCUAAGGGUUCACAAGCAUAUAGGGGGUCACAAACAAACAAAGGUCGCAGAAAAUAACACUUCGCAAAAAAAAUUGGCUCGCGUAUGAUGUUAAUACAUAUUUUGGAAAAAUUGAAAGAAUGCGACAUGGUACUCAUGCUAGGAGAAUUAAAGAAACAUCAAAGUAUAUUCAUGCAGAGAAGAAAUUAGUAAUAAAGGUUUAACUUCAUGGUUCGCAAAAUAUUAAAAGAAUAAACUUAAACUUUAGGGAAAUCGUUUCAUUAACAGAAUCAUAUAAUGAUAAAUCUAAACCUAUAUAAAUAAAACCCCAUCACCUAUUUCCCUAGGUUCGCAUUAUUUGUUCAGAGAUAGCCUCGCUAUUGCCAUUGGCGACUUACUUACCUGCAAAGUAAGAGAAGAGUGGGUGAGUUCAUUGCGAACUCGGUGAAUAAUCCGGAAUCAUCAACGUAUGAUUAAAAUACAGAGUUUAAAAUAGAAAGAAGACUUAGUAUGAAAAACUAUUGUAUCGCGUGUUGGGUUCGCAGUGAAUGCUAGGUUCGCAGUGAAUGUGCGAGACCCAGUUUAUAGAACCUGCUUGUCAUAAAAUCAUAUAAGUUUGAAAAUAGUUUUGCAUGUACUUACUGAAAAUCAUACUUAAAAACUUAGCUUGUUCUUGUUUGAAAAUGGAUCUUUUAUAGAAUGAAACAUGCUCACAUACUUAUCUUAUCGGAAUGGCUGAGGAAUAUAAAAUAUGUUCUUGCACUUUUCUUAACUUACUUAUAUUAUCUUGUCUUAUUUUGUUGGAUAUGUGGAUCUCUUUAUAACGCCUCAGAAUGACUCAAAGAGUCCUUAAGAUGUCCCAUAAGUGUAACAUAAGCUAAACACUCUCUUGUACACCAACAUGUCCUAUUGAAUGGAGCAUAGCUUGGCGUUCCCUUAUCUCUCCACAUGUCCCAAAGCCUCAAUGCCCAAAUCACAAAACUUAUUGGUGAGUACUCACAAUCCUUUGGUAUACAAAUAUAUCCAAUAUAUAAGCUCACAAAGGCACUCGUAUAGAAACUUAGCACAUAGAGCUAGAAAAAACAUAGCUUAUAGAACUGUAUUUUUAAAACAUGCUUUAAAACAUAGGCUUGCAUAGGAGCAUGCGUAACACAUAUCUUUAAAACAUAGCUUAAAACAUAUCUUGAAAACAAAUUAUCAGAACUUUUAAAAACAUAGUUUUAUAGGAAAAAAAACUUACUCUUGGAACUUAGUUUUUAAAAAAAAAAGAUUCUUAGAAAACAUAACAGUUCACACACAAGUUACGAAACCUGAGCAUUCAUACUAAAAAACAUGAUAGUUACCACACUUAUGGCAAUUCUUAACCACUCAUCGAUAAAACUGAAAAUUUAAAUGAGUUUUGCCUUGCCUUUAUCCUUGCUGUAGAUAGUCUGGUUGGUUCGUAACAUGCAUAAACACACAAAUUACUUCAAUAGACAAAACUUACGAACUUCACACAUGCAAGCGAACCUAGCUUUCUGGACAAUAAACCCUAAUAGGAAAAAUGCUUACCUUGGUUGCUACGAAUUUGGUUCAGAACAAAGACUUGACAACAAAAUAACGAUGAAAGAAUUUUUCCUAGAAUAAGGAUUGUAUUUAUAGGCACUAAGUAUCUUAGUGACCUUAGGAUACCCUAUUUGACUUAGGAACCCUCUACGGUUUAAAAGAAGGUUACGUGCACGAAAAGUAUCCUAGAUACACAAUAUAUUUAUUUCCUAAGUUUAGUCUAACUUGACUUUUGAUUGGCGAACCCCUAGUUUGUAACUCAAUUGUUGAACCCCAGCUCACUAAACAGAUUGGAGAACACAACUUUCAAUGAAUCUAGCGAACCUCUUACCACAUCAUUUGGCGUGCAGCAGUUUGCUAGAACACUGGCAAACUCCUUACUGGUAUCCCCUUUGGUGAACCCUAGUUUGCUGAAACACUAGUGAACCCUCACUUGUAAGGUCAAAACUUCUAGAUCAGGUUUCAGGAUGUUACAAACACCAUAUUUUUAUCAUAAUUGUUGUUGAUUAUUUUUCUUUCCUGAAUCAAAUCAUCUUUCAUUAAAUUAUUUUUCUAUUAGUUUUGUAAUUGUCGUCAAUAGCACCUCUAUAUUUGCCAAGAAACAAACCGAAUUUAGGUGAAUCAGACCGAAAUAAAGUGUGAAGAACAUCAACCGGAACUGUGGUGAAAGGUGUGUGUCUUUUCCAAGUGAAUCAGUGGUGAUCUGUGUACGAUUAAGGCCACAUGGGCUAUGCGUGUGGUCCACCAACUACCACACAACCAUGUGCACUUGUAGAUUUUAGGGACUUCAUGAACCAUACGGCCUCAGCCAGUUACACGAUCGUGUCUUUCCUGCAAGGUUUAUCAUUUUCCACAUGGAAUCAUGCUGUUACAUGACCGUCUAACCCUUACACAGGGUCUUACCCUUCUCACAUGGCCUGGCCAUACAGCCGUGUGACCCUGUUUUACAGUUUUGACCAAAAAUUUAUCAUAUGUUCAAUUUAGUCCUCGUUUAUCCCUUGAAUUAUUUUAGAGUUUUCAUUCACUCAAUUAAGUCCUUGAUAUUGUGUUUAUUCUAGAAUCUGUGAUUUAAUGACUAAAUUCCUAUUUUUAUAUUGUAUGAGAUGUGAAUAUUACAUGCCUACUGUCAUUGUAAUACUGAUAAACUAUUAAUGAUAAUAUUGUUACCACCCUAUUGAGUACAUGUUAAGCAUGUCUACUGCUAAUGUUGAACUGAAUACAUGAUAAGCAUGUCUAUUAUUAUUAUUUUUUGUAUUGUUCUAUUACAAAGCAUGCCAUAUUGCAUUGCAUGGGGUGGGACGAUAUGUAUGGAGAAAGGGUGACAGUUUAAUAAUCUGCAACCCAGUGGUGGCUCGUCCACAAACCCAAUGGCAGUUUAUCUGCAAAUGUUUUAACUAAAAAUACUGGUUGUUUAUCCGCAAUUUUUACAACGAAGUGGUAGUUUAUAUACAAAUCAGUGGUGAUUUAUCCACAACUCGGUGUGUAUGGAUGGAUGAGUUCUGGGGAACUCAUAGUGUGGUGUGUAGUGAAGUUGGGUAGGACCUUUUCUGAUAAACUGAAAUUGCAUUGCCAUUCAUAAACAUGUGCAUACAAACCAUGAAUUCUAAAUAUUAUAGUGAAGUGUUGAAUUGGAAAACCGAUAUUGUGAAUUGCUAUACGAUUGUGGUUAUUCUAAGAAUUGUUAUUUCGUAUGCUUUGACCACUAUGUUACACCGAUUUUCUUGUGAUAUGACUCACAUUGAGCUUAAGUUCACCCCCUUUUAAUUUCCAUCUUUAUAGAUAACCCACCAGGUUAGGACAUAGACACAACAUCUGGAAGGUCUUGGCUCAGAUAAAUUUUUUUAUUAAAAGUAUUUUAGACUUAUUAUUAUUUCUAUUAUUUGGAAUUGUAUUGUUUUAUUCAAACUUUGGCACGAGACUUAAGUUUUGAGUUUAUUUGACAUGCAUGAAAUUUAAUUUGAAUAUUAGGAUAUUGAAACAUGGAUUUUAAACUAAUUAUGCAUGAAAUUUUGGUUUCGCCAUCAUUAAAAAUAUUUUGAAUAUCAUUUUUCCGCUACGAUAUUAUGAAAAUAAGAAUUUGAAAAAAGUAAAUGAAUUGGAAAUCAACUUUUACUAAGUAAACUUUAAAAUCCAUUGUUUUUUGGAAACUUUUAUUUUUUAGUGAAAACAUGAUUACACGCAAAGUUUUUCUUCAAUAAUAAGCAAAUGUUUUAAACAACUGUUUUAUAAAAACUCCGAUAGUUGUAGUAGGCCAUUUCGGUAGCCAAUGCAAUCUUUUGAAUUCAGUCUUAACGUUUAGGCCGAGUUGAGGAAGUUACUAUUAGCAACUUAACAUUAAUUUGAACAUUAAAUGUUGGUCCAAACUUGACACGAAAUAUAUUUAGAAUACAUAAAUCAAAAAAUUAGUAAGUUGGCUACUUGGGUUAAUUUAUUGGUUUGACACAACAUAUCCUAUAGUAAUUCAAUGGGAUUAGAACAUCCCAACUCCUAGUUGAUUUAAUUGCUAGGUUAUCUAAGUCCACGCUUGCAAUUAUUGCUUAAAGCAUUUGUUUAAUAAAAUCUUAAAUUCCAAUGGAGGUGCUUUUUCAUAAUAUGAGGUAACCUAAGAAAAAGGAAAAAGUUGAACAUAUUGUUAAGUUAAAAUUGAACAAAUUAAGGCAAAGUGUACAAAUGGAGUGUCAUCAUUCAAAUCGGUCCUUCUCUUAAUUGUCAUAAGCCAAUUAGGUAAGCCAGAUUCUUUUAAUAAAAAGUAAAGAUUUCAUGGCAUCCCUAAAGCAUUGCAAAUUUUUUGUAAGCAUUAAAAUGGCAUUAGUUGGUACAAUACUGGUAUUGAUCUGUAUAUAUUGCUUCGGUUUUGAUCAGUACCAAAUAGUUUAUAUUUCGUUCAAUCAAAAUUUUGUUAUGUUUGAUUAUUUCGGUGUGUUUCGACCUAUUUUGGUCAAUAUCGGCUUGUACUAGCUAGUAUAAAAUUUGAUAUUUUAAACUAAAUUUUAAAAUUUUUUAAUCUUAAUUAUUUUAAUUUUGGCUAAAGGGUCUUCAAAGCCCUUGAACAUUAAAAUUUCAAUCAAUUAAGCCCAUCACACAUUAAAGUUAACGAUCAACCAUGAAAGAGCAACAAUAGCCAUUAUGAGCAAUUGUUUUCACCACGUGGCAUGUUAGACUGUACCACGUGACGAAAUAUGGUGUUUUAAAUUUAAAACCAUUAAAACUAUAGAAAAUCAUAAAAUAUUAAAAAAUUACAAAAGUUAUAAAAUUAUAUAAAAAUGAACAAAAUUAUAAAAAGUAGUAUAAAUGAUACAAAAAUUAUAUAAAUUAUUAAAAAAUUGCAAAAAGAAAACAUUAAAAAUAAGCUUAAAAUAAGAAUAUAUAAAAAAAUGUAAAAAAAAAAAAUUAGAAACUAAGUUUCGGAUACACAGCUCUGGCUGUAUUUUUCAUAAAUAAAAGCUUGGUUGAGAUUUUAGAUUUGGUAUAAAUACAAUAAAUAUAAUAUUUAUAGUAGUAAACAAGUGAAUGAAAUUAAGUAAUUGUGAUUGAGAUUCACCAUGAUUAUAUUUAUAGGAAUAAAAUAUUCCUAUAUAUAAUGAAAGUGUAAUUGAAUAAUAAAAUUCAUAUUAAUACAAGUUGCUUUAAAACAAAAGUAAAUAAUUUGAUAUUGAUCUUGUGAAACAAUUGAAUUUUGGUUUUGUUAUGGGAUUAAAUUAGCAAUUAAUCCUUUUUAAGAAUUUAGAGAACGAAUUAGAUAAGUUAGACAUAAAAGUAGAAGAGUAAAAAGAAAGGAAGUAGUGGGUAGAUUAACAUAAUUAGGAGUUUAAAUGAUAUGAUAAUAAUUAAAGCUUUAAUUUAGUUAAGGUAAUUAGAAAUGUUUGAUCAUAUUUUAGAUGUUAAUUGAAAUUAAACGAGUUAAUAGGUCGAAUACAAGUUUAUAUUUUAGUUAAGAUAAUUAAGAGUUUAACUAGAAUUAAAAAAAAAUAAGAAGCACAUUGAAUCGUCGAUGAAUUGAUUUGAUUCUAAAUCCAAACUCAAGAGAGUAGGAACAUAAUCCAUUGGAAACAACACUUUUAAGUUGUUUAAAUUUUUGAGAAAGAAAAACACUUUCAACCUUUUUUUUAAUCCCCACUCUAUCCACCAACCUACUCGUUGCUUUAUAAGUCAAAAUCGGGAAAUUAAAUAUUACACUAUUACUAAUUCGGUUAAAUUGGUUAAUUCGGUCAAAUGAAUAUUAUCGAUUUUUUGAUAUGUUUUUUUACUUGUUUUAACCAAAAAAAUAAAACAUAUAAAUUUCGGUUAAUUUGAUUAACCGGCCGAAUUAAUCGAAAUAUUUCGAUUUGGUUAAUGGUUAAAGAUACUAAUUCGAUUCGGUUAACUGAUCGGUUAAUUGUUUGAGCACCCCUAAAAAUAAGUCAUGGGACCAACAUACUGACUUCCAUACAAUUGUUAGGUAUAUAUAGCAACUCAUAAGUAUGAGUAGAAUUAGUACGCAGUACCUUAGAUUCAUUGAGCCACAUUUCAAAGUUUCCCAUGAUCUCUUUUGCUGUCAAUGAUAUAAUAAACUUUUUGUAUUCACAAUUAUGUUCACAAUAUAAAACAUAAUUGGUCGACUUGAAUACAAUUAAAUGAGACACUCUAAUGUUCUUUCCUUUUCCUCAAAUCUCUCUAUUUCAAUUCAACUACUCUCUAGAUAUGUCCCGUUAGAUUGAAUCAUACAUGAUCAUCGAUAGCCUACUAAAAUAGCUAAUAUUGAUGUAAAACUUCAAGAAACAGUUAAAGGUCAUGAGGGUACUUAGUAUAGAUCUUCAGUUGAUCUCAUGGGUUUCACACAACAUAGAAGCAGAGAUCAAAUCUUCUAUUACCCAUUUUGUUCGUAUAAUACACAUGUAGUAUGAAACACAUGCUAUGGUAUUACUCUCACUUUCCUUGAAGUGUAUGUCUUUAUCAAAAAAUCAAUACCACAUAGGUGAUAAUUCAAAUACACUUAGUAUCUAACUCGAGUCCACAACUUUAUUUUCUUAAUAGAUUCAACAACAAGACUUUCACCUGGAAUAAAAGACAUAUAAAGUGAAAAAUUCAUAUUUAAAUUAUCAAACAUAAAUCAAAUUGAUUAUAAUUAUAUCAUUUUGCAUAUAGCUCAUGUCGUGCAAGUGCACACUUUAGCCCCAACAAGUUUGGACCUAUGCCCUUCAUGCAUGCAAGGCAAGAUUCCAAACAUAAUCAUUCAAUCAUCAUUUAUGUGGGUUCUCAUAUAUAUACACAUCUCACACUUGGUAUUUAACCAAUGUGGGAUCUAAGCUUUUCUUUUCCUCAACAAAUAUUCACAAGUAGCUUACUUUGAGCACCAAUUUCUCAUUCAUCACUCAACCAUUUUGAGCAUAUGAUAUACUGUUGUAAAGGUCUCAUGGAGUAGAAUAUAAAAUCAUAAUUUUAUGAUUCAACUCUCAACAUUUACCAAUUAAAAAUAUGCCUCAAAGUUCCCAUAAAUUACAAAUUUUCCAACAACUUUUGAAUGCAUUAAUCAUUAUCAACAUUAACUCAAGUGAGGACAAGAAUAUAUUAUUCAACUUGCAAUCCUAGAGUUUUGACAUUCCUUUAAAAAAUCUCUAGGAAUCGGUUUUGUAAACUGAUUUGCAAUCCUCUUAUGCAUAGACUUUCUCUCUUGUUGUGAGAUUUACCUUCACACUUAUUUUUUCCAAUAUACUAACUUUAGAUAUUUGGAGUUUGGAGUUGGUCAAACAGAUGUAAAAGCUACCUUUUCCAAAUGAAAAUCUGGAAUUUACACAGACAAAGUAGAUUUCAUUGACAAAGGUGAAAUGCAUAGUCUGGGCAAGUUAUGAAGAUCAAUUUUAUGAUCUUAAGCGAUUUUCCAGAUAGUGAUAUGCUAUUUUUUUUAAUUAAGAAACUGUUUAGUUUGAUUUAAUCAUAAUUGAUAAAGACCACUUUACUCAUGUUAAAAGAAGGAAAGAAAAUUUUGUAACUAUGUCAUUUUAUGUGGGUGACAUGUUGUUGGCCGCAAAUGAAUUAGUGCUUAUCAUUAUGGGUUAUGCAAGACUACAUGUCAAUUCAUACGAAUGUGUCCUUUUUUCAAUGUUGUGAGUAGCAUCAUAUAUGUUAUGAUGUACAUAAAGCAAAGUAUCUCUUGUAUAGUUGGAUUCAAGACACUCCAAUCCAAACUCAUUGCAAAACAAUGAAAAUGAUAUUGAGGUAUUGAAAAGACACUAUGGAUUUUCACCAUGCUAUCUAAUUGUGAAUACAAAUACCUAUUAAUUAAAAGGAGAUUUAGAUGAAAUAUUGAAAUCUAUCUCCACACAUGUGUUCGUAUUUGAUAAUGGAGUGAACUCUUAAAGUAGUAAGAAAUAAACUUGUAUAGCAUGGUCUAUUAUUGAUGCUGAAAUUGGCAUUUUUAGCGAUGGUUCAAGAGAGUGUUUGGGUUAAAAUAAUCACGAUUAAUAUAGUUACGUUAAAGCAAAAUAUCUUCUAUAGUUGGAUUCAACAUAGUCCAAUCCAAACUUAUUGCAAAACAAUGAAAAUGAUUUUGAGGUCUUUUAUUGUUCUCUCUUGUAUAGUUUGCAUCUCAAGGCACUUUCUUGUUGAUUACGAUGAACAAAAAACGGUUGCAAGCUCUGGGACGAGCAAGAUCAAUAUCUUUAGAGAUCAAAUGAUGGUUAGUAUACAAAUUUAAAAACUAGUUUUUAUAAUUUCAUUUUCAUAUAGUUUUUAUUUAUUUUUUAUUAUAAAUUUUAUGCUUUUUAUAAUAUUUUAUAUGUUUUAGUAUUUUUACAAUAUUUUAAUAACUUUCUAUCUUUUUAAAUAUUUAUUACCAUUUUUAUUUUUAAUUCAAAUAAUUUAUUUUUUUCCAAUUUUCUAUAUUUUAUAAUAUUUUUAAUAAUAUUUUAUAUAUUUAAAUAUUUUUUCAUAAUUUUAAUUUUUUUAAAUUUUUCAUAAUUUAUAUGUUUUUUUAAUUUUUAUUUUAGUACUUUUUAAUGCUUUUCACAAUUUUUAAUAAUUUUUAUAAUUUAUAUUUUUUUUUCGUUUAUAAUCAUUUUUAUAAUUUAUAUAUAUAUCUGCAAUUUUAUAUAUUUUAUAAUUUUUGCAAUUUUUAUAUUUUAUAAAAUAAUUUUGUAAUACUCCAAACUCGGCCUUAACGUUAUGACCAAAUCUAGAGAUGCUAUGAAGAUACAUUAAAAAAAAUCUAGAAUCUGUUGAUUUUAUAAAAUGAUACUUGCCCUUAUUUAGUAAAAUCUGAGUUUAUUUGAGAAAUUUAUCGUUUUGAUGGGUUUGUCAAUUAUUUACUCAUAAAACUAGUCGAAUCCAAUUUGAAAACACGAUUUUUUUUGUUGUUGUAAAAUCCAUUAUUCAACAAUUCAAUUUUCAACCCACCAACGAGGAAAUCACACAGGACUUCCUGCUAACCUACCAUCUUUUUUCAAGAGUUCAAACCCAAUCCAACACCACCAACUCGACAGCACAUUAAGGGCUAACAAAAAUAAAUUAGAGACUCAAACGAUAAAUUAACAUCUUAUCGUUGAACUAGUAAACUCAUUCUAUCACAAAUUGAUCAAAAAUAGUAUUUAAGUGGUAAGGAACAAGAUAAGGAUAAAAGACAAAAAUAAUAAAAUUUCUUAAAAAUGAGAUUUGAACCCUAAUCAGUAAAACAAAUACUUAUUCAUGACAUAAAUUAACAAAUUAAAAAUUCAUAUUUUUGGGUCUUAAAAGUUUUUAAUAAAUUAUAAUUACUUGAUUCCAGUUUCUUUAUUAUGCCCAAAUUUAAGAUUAAGCCCUAUAUUUUAAUUUUGACAUAAUUUGAUUUAUUUAUUUUUAUAAUGUCAUUAGUUAUCUUAAAUCGCUAACAUUAUUAGCUAUGCCAAGUAAAAUAACAUCGCGUAUUUUUUUUCUUAAAAUCAUCACUUCUAACUAAAUAAUGGCUUAAUCACUUUUUUAACUAAUUAUACUAACAUAGAUUUUUUUUAGUUGGAACGAGUAUGUUUAAGGAAAAAUCACCUCAACACUUUACUUGAAAUUAGUAAUCACAUUAAUUAUUUGGACUAACUAAAUCAUUACUGAAUCACCUUCUAACUAAUUAUAGUAAUGUAUAUAUUUAAGAAAAAGCUCACUUUAAUGUUUUAACUGAAAUUAUUAACCGUGUUAAUUACUUAAACUAACUAAUGAAAAAUAUUUCAAAUUAAUUUAUACUGAAUAACUCUCAAAUCCAAGUAUAAUAAAAUAAUAUGACUAACUCAAACUUGGCGUUGAAUUGAGUUUGGGAGUAAAAUAAUCACAUCACUCAUUGGCAAAGCAUGACUGUGAUUAUGAUAUGGUUUUUCGAAGUAUAACUAUGGUGGAGUUGAUAGCAUUGAUUAGAAUACCUUUAUAAAUGAAUAUAUAACAUUUAAUCAUGUAUAUAUUUUUAAUAAUUUAAUAACUUAAAAAAACACCACACUUUAUUAUAUAUGUAAAAUGUAAAUAGAAGCUACAUUCUUAUUUCAUGAAAUAACAUCAUAGAGAAUGUGAUGGCAGAGUUCAUUCUCAGUAAUAUAUGUGAUACUAAUUAGGAAUCAAACUGUCUUCAAUGGCUGGAUGGAGGUGGAGGUGGAGGUGGAGACAUGAAAGGAAUGGAAGGCAAGCUGCUACUGGGAAGUGGUGGAAGAACAGUGAUAGGCUUAGGCUAAGAUGGUGGGAUUGUUGGUAGCUUCGGGAUUCAAGGCAAUGGAGGUAUGCAGGGUUGAGCUGAGAAUGAUGGUAGAUCUAGGAUUGAAGGCAAUGGAAGUAUGUUGGGCAACUUACGAAGUGGUGGUAGUUCUAAGUUCUGGGAUUGAAGGAAAUGGUGGUGGUUCUGGGAUUAAAGGAAGUGGUGACAUCGGAGGUGGCAAUGGUACCGGUAAAUAUGCAGAUGGCAAUGGUACUGGUAAAAAUGGAGGUGGCAAUGGUAUUGGCGACAAUGGAGGUAGCAAUGGUACUGGUGACAAUGGUAUUGGCGACAAUGGAGGUGGCAAUGGUAUUGGUGGAAAUGGAGGUGGCACUUGCUGAAGAUUUCGGGUUGCUAGGCUAACCUCCAUGCUUGAAAAACCCAAGGAAAUGAAGCAGGCUAAUAAAAUGAAAACGUUGGAAGCUGCCAUUUUUUUUUGGAGAGAUGAACUAAAGAUUGAAGAUUUGAGUUGAGGAAAGCAGGAUUGGUUUCGGGUAUUUAUAGCCACAUUUGAAGGAGUUUUUUAAUUAUUUGUUUGAGAUAUUACUCCCCUACUUAGCUUACUACCUUC
rnacentral:lncRNA from 1 species